rnacentral:lncRNA from 1 species
CGCCUAUCUCUCUCGACUGCGGCAAACGAAGCCAAAAACAGGCUUUUCUUUAAUAUCUUCGCGCCAACUCGUCGGAUCGCCGAACCGAAUUUACCAACGCGAUCGAUUACCUAGCAGAUAGGUAUAAAAGAGAUCAAUCCCAAAUUUGGAUCUCAACUUAACAAAACGCCUUUUUCGGAACCCUAGAUGUUCGAUCUUGCAUGAAUACACCAUAAGGAUCCUCGAUUCAAGCAAAUAACAUCUAUUU